rnacentral:tRNA from 1 species
GCCCGGCUAGCUCAGUCGGUAGAGCAUGAGCCUCUUAAUCUCAGGGUCGUGGGUUCGAGCCCGGGGUUGAGCG